rnacentral:rRNA from 1 species
UACGUAGGGGGCAAGCGUUGUCCGGAAUCAUUGGGCGUAAAGAGCGCGUAGGCGGUCCGGUAAGUCCGCUCUGAAAGUCCGGGGCUCAACCCCGGGAGGCGGGCGGAUACUGUCGGGCUAGAGUCCGGAAGAGGCGAGUGGAAUUCCUGGUGUAGCGGUGAAAUGCGUUGAUAUCAGGAGGAACACCCAUGGCGAAGGCAGUUCACUGGGCAUCAUCUGACGCUGAGGCGCGAAAGCGUGGGUAGCAAACAGG